GAUGAAGAACGUAGCGAAAUGCGAUAAUUAAUGUGAAUUGCAGAAUUCAGUGAAUCAUAGAAUCUUUGAACGCACAUUGCGCCCCUUGGUAUUCCGAGGGGCAUGCCUGUUCGAGCGUCAUUAUAACCCCUCAAGCUCAGCUUGGUGUUGGGGCCUGCUGCACUGGCAGCCCUUAAAAUCAGUGGCGGCGCCAUCUGGCUCUAAGCGUAGUAAUUCUUCUCGCUAUGGAGUCCUGGUGGAUGCUUGCCAUCAACCCCCAAUUUUUCUAUGGUUGACCUCGGAUCAGGUAGGGAUACCCGCUGAACUUAAGCAUAUCAAUAAGCGGAGGA
rnacentral:misc_RNA from 1 species